UACGGAGGGUGCAAGCGUUGUUCGGAAUUAUUGGGCGUAAAGGGCAGGUAGGUGGUCUGAUAAGUCUGCUGUGAAAUCCUCGGGCUUAACCCGGGAAGUGCGGUGGAUACUGUAAGACUAGAGUGCUAUAGGGGUACGCGGAAUUCUCGGUGUAGCGGUGAAAUGCGUAGAGAUCGAGAGGAACACCAGAGGCGAAGGCGGCGUACUGGAGAGCAACUGACGCUCAGCUGCGAAAGCGUGGGGAGCAAACAGG
rnacentral:rRNA from 1 species